GCCUAACACAUGCAAGUCGAGCGGAUGACGGGAGCUUGCUCCUUGAUUCAGUCGGCGGACGGGUGAGUAAUGCACUAGGAAUCUGCCUGGUAGUGGGGGACAACGUAAUCGAAAGGAACGCUAAUACCGACAUACGUCCUACGGAGAGAAAGCAGGGAGACCUAUCGGGCCUUGACGCUAUCAGAUGAGCCUAGGUACGGAUUAGCUAGUU
rnacentral:rRNA from 1 species